rnacentral:rRNA from 1 species
AUUGAACGCUGGCGGCAGGCCUAACACAUGCAAGUCGAGCGGCAGCGACUUAACUGAACCUUCGGGGGACGUUAAGGGCGGCGAGCGGCGGACGGGUGAGUAAUGCCUGGGAAUAUGCCCUGAUGUGGGGGAUAACUAUUGGAAACGAUAGCUAAUACCGCAUAAUCUCUUCGGAGCAAAGAGGGGGACCUUCGGGCCUCUCGCGUCGGGAUUAGCCCAGGUGGGAUUAGCUUGUUGGUGAGGUAAUGGCUCACCAAGGCGACGAUCCCUAGCUGGUCUGAGAGGAUGAUCAUCCACACUGGAACUGAGACACGGUCCAGACUCCUACGGGAGGCAGCAGUGGGGAAUAUUGCACAAUGGGGGAAACCCUGAUGCAGCCAUGCCGCGUGUGUGAAGAAGGCCUUCGGGUUGUAAAGCACUUUCAGUAGGGAGGAAGGUAGUGUAGUUAACACCUGCACUAUUUGACGUUACCUACAGAAGAAGCACCGGCUAACUCCGUGCCAGCAGCCGCGGUAAUACGGAGGGUGCGAGCGUUAAUCGGAAUUACUGGGCGUAAAGCGCAUGCAGGCGGCCUGUUAAGUCAGAUGUGAAAGCCCGGGGCUUAACCUCGGAAUUGCAUUUGAAACUGGCAGGCUAGAGUCUUGUAAGGGGGGUAGAAUUUCAGGUGUAGCGGUGAAAUGCGUAGAGAUCUGAAGGAAUACCAGUGGCGAAGCGGCCCCCUGGACAAAGACUGACGCUCAAUGCGAAAGCGUGGGAGCAAACAGG